UACGUAGGUGGCGAGCGUUGUCCGGAAUUACUGGGCGUAAAGGGCGCGUAGGCGGCCUGUCAAGUCAGAUGUGAAAUCCCCGGGCUUAACCCGGGAACUGCAUUUGAAACUGGCGGGCUUGAGGGCAGGAGAGGAAAGCGGAACUCCCAGUGUAGCGGUGAAAUGCGUAGAUAUUGGGAGGAACACCAGUGGCGAAGGCGGCUUUCUGGACUGUCACUGACGCUGAGGCGCGAAAGCCAGGGGAGCGAACGGGAUUAGAAACCCCUGUAGUCC
rnacentral:rRNA from 1 species